CACAUAAAACGAUGACCACCUCUAUAGUGAUCUAUAAAGU
rnacentral:guide_RNA from 1 species